rnacentral:tRNA from 1 species
GGCCACGUGGCCGAGCGGUCAGGCACAGGUCUGCAAAACCUUUUACGGCAGUUCGAUCCUGCCCAUGGCCU